UGAGGAAUAUUGCGCAAUGGGGGCAACCCUGACGCAGCGACGCCGCGUGAGUGAAGAAGGCCUUCGGGUUGUAAAGCUCUGUCGGGAGGGAAGCGGUACCUUCAAAGGAAGCACCGGCUAACUCCGUGCCAGCAGCCGCGGUAAUACGGAGGGUGCGAGCGUUAAUCGGAAUUACUGGGCGUAAAGGGCGCGUAGGCGGUUUUAUAAGUCAGAUGUGAAAGCCCACGGCUUAACCGUUGAAGUGCAUCUGAAACUGUGAGGCUAGAGUACCGGAGGGGAAGGUGGAAUUCCCGGUGUAGAGGUGAAAUUCGUAGAUAUCGGGAGGAAUACCGGUGGCGAAGGCGAUCUUCUGGACGAUACUGACGCUGAGGCGCGAGAGCAUGGGGAGCAAACAGGAUUAGAUACCCCAGUAGU
rnacentral:rRNA from 1 species